UACGGCCGCAUCGCGUUGAAACACCGGUUCUCGUACGAUCACCAAUGUUAAGCAACAUCGAGGCUGGUCAGUAACUAGAUGGGUGACCGCUUGGGAAUACAAAGUGCUGCAAG
rnacentral:rRNA from 1 species